UACGGGGGGGGCAAGCGUUGUUCGGAAUUACUGGACGUAAAGGGCUCGUAGGUGGCCAACUAAGUCAGACGUGAAAUCCCUCGGCUUAACCGGGGAACUGCGUCUGAUACUGGAUGGCUUGAGUUCGGGAGAGGGAUGCGGAAUUCCAGGUGUAGCGGUGAAAUGCGUAGAUAUCUGGAGGAACACCGGUGGCGAAGGCGGCAUCCUGGACCGACACUGACACUGAGGAGCGAAAGCCAGGGGAGCAAACGGG
rnacentral:rRNA from 1 species